AUUGAACGCUGGCGGCAUGGCUAAAGCAUGCAAGUCGAACGCGAACCCUUCGGGGUGAAAGUGGCGAAAGGGCGAGUAAUGCGAUCGAACGUACCCCAAGGUGGGGAUAGCGUCGGGAAACUGGCGGUAAUACCCCAUGUGCUCUACGGAGGAAAGGCCACCCUUAAAAGUGGGCGCCUCGGGAGCGGCGAUCGUCCUAUCAGGUAGUUGGUGAGGUAAAGGCUCACCAAGCCGAAGACGGGUAGCGGGUGUGAGAGCAUGACCCGCCGCAUCGGAACUGAGACACUGUCCGGACUCCUACGGGUGGCAG
rnacentral:rRNA from 1 species